rnacentral:rRNA from 1 species
CGCAUCUGUGCAUGCAGCAUAUCAAUAAGCGGAGGAAAAGAAACUAACAAGGAUUCCCUAGUAACGGCGAGUGAAGCGGGAAGAGCUCAAAUUUGAAAUCUUAAAGGGUUUCCCUUGACGAAUUGUAGUUUAAAGAAGUGUUUUCUGUUGAAGUUUUGGUAAAAGUUCUUUGGAAUAGGACAUCAUAGAGGGUGAGAAUCCCGUAUUUGACCAUUUACUUUCAGCUGUGUGAUACACUUUCAAAGAGUCGGAUUGUUUGGGAAUGCAGUCCAAAAUGGGUGGUAAAUUUCAUCUAAAGCUAAAUAUUGGCGAGAGACCGAUAGCGAACAAGUACCGUGAGGGAAAGAUGAAAAGAACUUUGAAAAGAGAGUUAAACAGUACGUGAAAUUGUCAAAAGGGAAGCGUUUGACACCAGUGUUGUUUUCUCGAAAAUCAAUUAAAAAGAGUUGGAUUUUGUGUUGUAUUGACCUUAACAGCUCGCUUCACUCUUUUCCAGCUUUUUUUAAUGCACUUUUCGUUUAACAAGUCAACAUCAGUUUCUUUUGUUGUAAAAGGGUCAUUGGAAGGUGGCUUUCUCUUCGGAGAAAGUGUUUAUAGCCUUUGAUCUCUGCAAUCGGAGAGACUGAGGUCUGCAGCGUAGAUCCUUCGGGGUUAGAUACAUUUGUGCUAAGCUACAGCUUCUCAUAGACAACUUGUUGACUAUGUUUAGUCUUGUGACUUACCCGCUUAUGCUAUUUUACCUACGCUUAGGAUGUUGAUAUGCAUGACUGAUAU